UCCUUUCUUUGAUAAAGAUGUCAAAGAUUGAACAGUAGGCAUAGUCAAUCGUAUUGUAUGUACUGGAAUUUCAGGUGCUUGUAUUGCUUUUAGAAUAUUAUUCCUAUCCUUCCUCUUUUUUCUUUUUGUAAGCAAACCCAUCGCAUUUUCAACAUUUUCCUACUUUGUUGUCAAUCCUUCAUCUUUUUCUUUGUCUUUUAGAAGCAAUUCCAAUUUCCCUUGUAAUUCUCCAUCAGCAGCUUGAAGAAAUA
rnacentral:lncRNA from 1 species